CCCCCCGCUGAGGGCGGCUGGCGUCCGGCAGCGGCGGGUCCUGUCAGACGGGGGCCGCGGAGCUGGCUCGUUUCCUCUGCACCCUGCCUGCUCAGCGGCCAAAGAAGGUGCCUCUGCCUCGGUACCUUUGCCUGGCUCUCUUAUCUAUGUGCCUGCUCGGUCGCCUGGCCUUGCUGAGGCCGCUGGCCCGCACUGCCUGCUCUGUAAGGCGGUGCCUUCUUAUAGGUGAUUGAGCUGGUCUCCUGCUAGGUUCAUCAAGUAACCCUAGUCCUAGUGCUGAGAGAACAGGAAGCAUUGCACUUCCAUUGACAAAGCUUGUGAGCUGGCUUCAUCGAGAAGAUGGAUAGAGUUAAACUCUGCCUGAUACCCACCACAUUCCGGAGCCUGCGCUGCAGCGGGGGGUCAUUCCAGAAGCAAUGCCUCCAUGGAAUGUGAGACACGACAUGACCUCUGCUAAAGGCAGCCCAGUGGAUUCAUCACUCACUGGGAUCUCACUGUGCCUGCUGCAGUGUACGUCAUGGAAGGCCAGGGGCAGGACCUCACAGAUGAAGAGGAGGGACAGAGCUCAGAAACUGUUUGAAGAAAAGAAGUCAGACAACCAUGGUCCCCCAGCCUGCCUUGAAAGUACUGUGUCUGGUGGUGCACAGAGCUUUCUGCUCAGGAAAAUAUAAACUGCAGCUUCCUGUACUCUACGCAAGUCAAUCUGUCCUAUUCUUGAUACUACCUCAUUUUGUAAGGCCUGUCUGUCAUAGCAGCAAUACAACCAUGCAGCAAAGAAAUAUCUUACUUGCCAAACUUACAUCAUGGCAAUCUCCUGUCCUCCCAGCUUGAGUAUGCCUAAAGAGUCUUAGCUUAGGAGUUAUCAUGUCCAGCUGCAGGGUAGCCUGGAUAUGCACUUUAUCUUGCUUGCUCUUCCCCCAUAUGUUUGUGGUUGAAGUUCAAUCUUUUCUAUUCCAGUAAAGGAGACUUUAGAUACUCCCAGAAGCAAAGGCAAAUAUGAAGUUGGGGGUGAUGGCUGGAAUAGAAACCUUGUGAAUUAAGGAGAGGGAGUGUUGUUAAUGAGUGAAAUGGACCAGGCAGCAGGUCUAUUGGUCUCCAUUACUGUGUCACUGAUUCGCUUUGCCACCUUGACCAUGUCACCAGCACUUCUCUGAAGAAAGCUGUGUUUGAUCUGUGAUAGCACAAGUAGUCUUUGUGCAUCACAUUGAUUCUUUAAUCCUACAGCAUUUCUCUUAGUGCUGUCAUUUCUGGAUAUUGUGCUGGGUUACCACUGUCACCAACAUAUGUAAAGAUCUGACUCUGUGUUGUCAUCACAUAACCUUGGAGAACUUGCGCUUUAUGGUUGGGAGAUUUCUGCAGGAAAGGUGCUCCGAGUGCGAAAAAUUAAUGUUUGCAAAUGUAAGUCUACUAUGGCGAAGUGGGUCUGAUCAUUGGUAAUCCUGCAGCUUCUUCUGCUCCACCCUUUUUCCACCAUAAGCUCUUCUUACACAAUGUGUCUUUGUCUCCCUGCAGGCAAGGCAGUG